rnacentral:rRNA from 1 species
GACAGAGGGUGCAAACGUUGUUCGGAAUUACUGGGCGUAAAGCGCGUGUAGGCGGCUAAGUAAGUCGGGCGUGAAAUCCCACGGCUCAACCGUGGAAGUGCACUCGAAACUGCAUAGCUAGAGUCCUGGAGAGGAAGGUGGAAUGCUUGGGUGUAGAGGUGAAAUUCGUAGAUAUCAAGCGGAACACCGGUGGCGAAGGCGGCCUUCUGGGACAGU